rnacentral:rRNA from 1 species
UACAGAGGGUGCGAGCGUUAAUCGGAAUUACUGGGCGUAAAGCGUGCGUAGACGGUUAUUUAAGUCGGGUGUGAAAGCCCCGGGCUCAACCUGGGAAUUGCAUUCGAGACUGAAUAGCUAGGGUACGGUAGAGGGAAGCGGAAUUUCCGGUGUAGCGGUGAAAUGCGUAGAGAUCGGCAGGAACACCCAGGGGGAAACCAGCGGACUGGGCAUCAGCUGACGCUCAGGUGCGACAGCGUGGGGAGCGAACCGG